rnacentral:rRNA from 1 species
AUUGAACGCUGGCGGCGGCCUAACACAUGCAAGUCGAACGGUAGCACAGAGAGCUUGCUCUCGGGUGACGAGUGGCGGACGGGUGAGUAACGUCUGGGAAACUGCCCGAUGGAGGGGGAUAACUACUGGAAACGGUAGCUAAUACCGCAUAACGUCGCAAGACCAAAGUGGGGGACCUUCGGGCCUCACACCAUCGGAUGUGCCCAGAUGGGAUUAGCUAGUAGGUGGGGUAAUGGCCCACCUAGGCGACGAUCCCUAGCUGGUCUGAGAGGAUGAGAGCCACAGUGGAACUGAGACACGGUCCAGACUCCUACGGGAGGCAGCAGUGGGGAAUAUUGCACAAUGGGCGCAAGCCUGAUGCAGCCAUGCCGCGUGUAUGAAGAAGGCCUUCGGGUUGUAAAGUACUUUCAGCGGGGAGGAAGGCGGUGAAGUUAAUAACUUCACCGAUUGACGUUACCCGCAGAAGAAGCACCGGCUAACUCCGUGCCAGCCGCCGCAGUAAGAC